rnacentral:rRNA from 1 species
AUGUGUAUAAGGUUUUCCCUAGUGGUGGUUCUCACAUCAGGUGACGUGCCAAAAAGAGUCCAAGCCUCACAACUCAACGCAGAGUCAAACCAGAUGACCAACAUCUCUCCUGCUCAGUAUGACAAGGAUGUCAAUGAUAAUGAAAACCUUCCUCACAGCAGAGCGGCGGAGUGCAUCCUUGCCAUCUACAUUUCAGAGCCCCAUCAGUUCAGUGUGAUCUCCGGUAAGUUCUUGUAUUGCUAUAUCGAGUGUUCAGAAAGUGUAGAAUGGAUGAUUUAUCUCACCUAUGCGGCUCACAAAUCAUAUGCUUUGUACAAAAAAUAA